rnacentral:rRNA from 1 species
GACGAACGCUGGCGGCGUGCCUAAUACAUGCAAGUAGAACGCUGAAGAGAGGAGCUUGCUCUUCUUGGAUGAGUUGCGAACGGGUGAGUAACGCGUAGGUAACCUGCCUUGUAGCGGGGGAUAACUAUUGGAAACGAUAGCUAAUACCGCAUAACAAUGGAUGACCCAUGUCAUUUAUUUGAAAGGGGCAAAUGCUCCACUACAAGAUGGACCUGCGUUGUAUUAGCUAGUAGGUGAGGUAACGGCUCACCUAGGCGACGAUACAUAGCCGACCUGAGAGGGUGAUCGGCCACACUGGGACGGAGACACGGCCCAGACUCCUACGGGAGGCAGCAGUAGGGAAUCUUCGGCAAUGGGGGCAACCCUGACCGAGCAACGCCGCGUGAGUGAAGAAGGGUUUCGGAUCGUAAAGCUCUGUUGUAAGUCAAGAACGAGUGUGAGAGUGGAAAGUUCACACUGUGACGGUAGCUUACCAGAAAGGGACGGCUAACUACGUG